AUGCUCCCAUACAAUAAAUUCCCCUCUGAAACUUUGGGUCUUUACAGUUCAUGGUUUGCUGGGAUUGCAUUGUUCAUGUCGCGCACAUCUCACAACACAGCUGCUGGGACUCUGUCGGAAAACACCGGGCCUGAAGGCAGGGCCAAGGCUCCUUUACUGUGGGUAUGCUGUGUACUUUUUUCCCCAUCCUUUGCAAUGAGUUCUGUGUACUGCCCAGGGCUGACUGGAAAGGAGCCUCUUUGGCAACAAGGAACUGAUGCAAUCAGAGCUGAUAAACUUCCCUGAGCAACCUCACCGCUUGUCCGAGCAACUCAGGCACUGCCAGUGUCCUCAUGUCACUUCUGGUGGCUCUGUGUGUGCCUUCUUCCUUGCUGCCACAUAGGCAGCCCUGGAGCUUCUCCCCCAUGCCAUCUGAAGUUUGAUUUUAGAGGCUUUUUGGAUCUGAAUCCAUGGCUGUGGAAAGGCUACAGGGAUCUCUGGAAGAGUGAGAGACUGUCAUCACACUUCUGUUCAGACAUCUGGAGGGUGAUGGAGGGGAAAUACCACUACACCAGACUGUGCUUAUUGUUUCAGCUACAUGCUUUGUCUUGUUCUACCCCUCUGCAAAAGGAGGAAGAUCGUUGGUAAUUGGAAAACUUAGUAGGAAAAUGCAGCAUAAAAGAUCUAAUAUUCAAUCCUGGGUCAAGUUAUAGGGAAGAAAAGUUUUCUAUUAUUUAUUUUUAAUGAGCAAAAGUUUGAAGAAAAUGUAUUCAGAAGACCUCCAGCUGGGCUUGUGGAAAAUGUGCUUAAAAAAACUCACCUAGUCCAAUGCAACACAAAUGAAUGUCAAUAAUUACCUGCCUAGGUAUUUUUAAAAAUGAGGGCUUCUGGUUAAAACAGAAACAAAAAAAAAACAACAAAAAAAGGGAGGUUGAUGGAAGGGAGUCAGAUGUAGACCAAGUAAAACAUCUUUAACCUGCUUUGUAUUUGCCCUGAAGUCUCUUCCAGUGCCAGUGUGAUGGAAAGUGAAUCAUGCAGCUCUGGAGCCAGUGACAUGGUACCACAGAAGUACCAUCAGCAGCUAUUGCUAGAAUGAAAUUCAGGUCAGCCUUUAAGUGUGAAAUAACUGGAAUUUCUAUGUGGUUGCCUGUGGAGAUUCUCCUAAAUUACUACCUGCCACAACUUUUAUUGUGUGUCUCAAACUGCUGUUCAUGAAAUGUUAUGUGCCCAGAACAGAUGAUUUGGCUUUAGCAGUCCCAAUCAGCCUGAGGUGAACUUUGAUUGAUGAGGUGGAACUGGCC
rnacentral:lncRNA from 1 species